GAAGGAACUCACUGGGCAGCGAGGUCUGCCAGGUCUGUCUGGUGGGAAGAAGAGAAAGAGGAAGACGAGAGACGGGGGAAGAGGCAGAAUGUGUGUGGGAGAGAAAAACACUAAACAGAAGAAGCGCUGCUUAUCCUGAGCCACAAUCAUCAUUAAGGAUACCUCUCACCCACAUCAAGGACUGAUUACUCUGAUGGCCUCUGGAAGCGUGGAACAGGAAGCAAGCGCAUGUACAGACUCACCCACCCCACACACGCACAGAAAGAGCAGCCGUGACAGAGGUGACAGCCUGCACGCACAUUUGUUUGCCUGUGAAGUAUCCAGAGGCGACGGCUCUAUAUAAACCCUUUUGUACUGUUUAUUGUGCGUUUUCACUCAUGGUUGAAUACUUGUGGGCGAGUUUAUGUGAUUGUUUUUGAUAAUGUGCGAAUGCUUAAUGAUACAUGCUUAUCAUUUGUUAUUGCUGUAGCAGCAGCUACUUGUAAACGCAAAUUUGAAUUCCUGUUAUUAAAGAUGAGACUGAUUAUAUUUCAUUUUAUUUUCGUUUCAUUCUGCAAAUGUUAUGUCAUGUGCAGCUGAAUAAAGUCAGCAAA